ACUCAAAGGAAUUGACGGGGACUUGCACAAGCAGUGGAUUAUGUGGCUCAAUUCGAUGGUAAACGAAGAACCUUACCAGGGUUAGAAAUCCUAGUGAAAGCCCGAGGAAACUCGGGGCCUCGCAAGACUCUAGGACAGGUGAUGCAUGGCCGUCGUCAGUUCGUGGUUUGAAUUGUACCCUUAAGUGGGCUAACGAACGCAACCCUCGUUGUGUGUUACAAGUGUCACACGAGACCGCCCCCGCCUUAGGCUUUGAGAGAAAGAAAAAUUUUUCUUGAAAGUUAAGGCGGGGGAGGAAGGAGAGGAUGACGCCAGGUCAGCAUGUCCCUCUGAUACCCUGGGCUGCACACAUAAUACAAUGACCGUUACAACGCGUAGCGACGAGGCGACUCUGAGCUAAUCGUCCAAAAACGGCCUCAGUUCGGAUUGGAGUCUGCAACUCGACUCCAUGAAGCUGGAAUUGCUAGUAAUCACAGGUCAGCUAAACUGUGGUGAAUACGUUCUCAAGUCUUGUACACACCGCCCGU
rnacentral:rRNA from 1 species